UACGUAGGUGGCGAGCGUUAUCCGGAAUGAUUGGGCGUAAAGGGUGCGUAGGCGGCCUGCUAAGUCUGGAGUGAAAGGUACCGGCUCAACCGGUACAGGCUCUGGAAACUGGCGGGCUGGAGAGCAGGAGAGGGCGGUGGAACUCCAUGUGUAGCGGUAAAAUGCGUAGAUAUAUGGAAGAACACCGGUGGCGAAAGCGGCUCUCUGGCCUGUAACUGACACUGAGGCUCGAAAGCGUGGGGAGCAAACAGG
rnacentral:rRNA from 1 species